GUAUACAGCUCUGGAACGUGCAGCAGCAAGACAGACCGUGCAGCAAGAAAGAGACAGACAGAAAGAGAGGAGCAGAGAGGAAAAGAGAAAAGGAGAGGAGAUGGAGAGAGAAACAGAGAGGCAGAGAGAAACAAAGAAAGAUCGAAAUGGGAGGAACAUGACAAGCCUUGUCAUAGGCAGACAACAGGGGAACCAGCAGCGGAGACAAGACGGGCAGCUUGGCAUUGAGAGCCGCAGAUUGAGCCCAGCUGAGGGAAGAUGGUGUAAACUAAAUGUGAAGCGGAGCCAGACCCUCAGCUAAAUCACCUUAGGGAUGAGAUUCCAAACAUGACUAGCUUCCAGUAUCUAAUAAUCAAAGGUUCCGCUCAAGGGGGAAACAUCACCCAACACAGCAACACAAUCAUGACAAGACAAUACAGUUGAAUCUACAGAUAUUAUACACAAUCAAACGCACGCACGCAUGCCUGCACGCACAAACACAACUCUCUGCAUUUAUCCCAACAAGAGGAGAACCAUGACGUCACCUUUUUCUAUUCUCCACACAACAGUGUAUUUUAAAUAGUGAAAGUUAACCCACUUACUCCACCUAGGGGGGAGUUUGGUAACUACACCUACCAGGGUUGGGCUCAAAUUGAAUUGAAGGCAGUCAAUUCAGGAAAUUAUUUGAAUUUAAAAUUCCGAAAGGUUAAAACUCUUCAAAUAAAUAGCUUCUGCUUUUCAGUUUAUUGAGAAGUGAUUGAAAAUAAAUUCCCUUUUUCGAUUAUUGAAUAGUAAUUUUUGUUAACUUCCUGAUUCGACUGCCUUUAAUUCAAAGCCCAACCCUGAUAUUACAGCCAAGCACGAUUGUGUCAACUUCGCUGAGGUAAAACAAAAAUAUCCUUAAACUGUAUAUUUUAUAUUCUCAAAGCAGCCAAAUUACAAAUGGAUGUGUGAAUAAAUGACAAACU